rnacentral:rRNA from 1 species
CUCAGAAUGGUUGGAAAUCAUUCAUAGAGUGUAAAGGCAUAAGGGAGCUUGACUGCGAGACCUACAAGUCGAGCAGGGUCGAAAGACGGACUUAGUGAUCCGGUGGUUCCGCAUGGAAGGGCCAUCGCUCAACGGAUAAAAGCUACCCCGGGGAUAACAGGCUUAUCUCCCCCAAGAGUUCACAUCGACGGGGAGGUUUGGCACCUCGAUGUCGGCUCAUCGCAUCCUGGGGCUGUAGUCGGUCCCAAGGGUUGGGCUGUUCGCCCAUUAAAGCGGUACGCGAGCUGGGUUCAGAACGUCGUGAGACAGUUCGGUCCCUAUCCGUCGUGGGCGUAGGAAAUUUGAGAGGAGCUGUCCUUAGUACGAGAGGACCGGGAUGGACAUACCUCUGGUGUACCAGUUGUCGUGCCAACGGCAUAGCUGGGUAGCUAUGUAUGGACGGGAUAAGUGCUGAAAGCAUCUAAGCAUGAAGCCCCCCUCAAGAUGAGAUUUCCCAACUUCGGUUAUAAGAUCCCUCAAAGAUGAUGAGGUUAAUAGGUUCGAGGUGGAAGCGUAGCGAUACGUGGAGCUGACGAAUACUAAUCGAUCGAAGACUUAAUCAAUUU